rnacentral:lncRNA from 1 species
UGGCCCAUUUGGCCCUAUGCACAUUGGCAUUUGACACUUGGUUACUCUGUAUAGCAGAUGCAAAGAUAAAAGAAACUUUUAGGGAUAUCAGAAUACCUUUUUAUUGCAAACAAUUAAAACCUUCUGCAUAAAUCCACUAAAUUUCUUAGAUUACCAAUUAGCAUCAUCAUAAUUUUUGCUCAAGUAACUAUUUCUCUUUACUGGAUGAACAAAAUAAGCUUUUUUUUUUUUAACUAAAGAUGGAAAAAACAUCUCUCUUUCAUUUUUAUUCUCUACCAGCUUAACUAUAAAGUGACAGAAUUAAGACUUCAAGUCUUGGAUUAUCAACAAUGGAUUGGCUGAUUUUCACUAAGAAGAAUGACUGGCCAUAGCUGCUGGAAAGCUGCUCUUACAGAUGUUGGUGUUCUUCUUGCUGGGAAGCUGUUGAUUGCAGCUGGAGAAGUU